rnacentral:rRNA from 1 species
UACGGAAGGCAGCAGGGGGAAUAUUGGACAAUGGGCGAAAGCCUGAUCCAGCCAUGCCGCAUGAGUGAAGAAGGCCUUCGGGUUGUAAAGCUCUUUUAGUGAGAAAGAUAAUGACGGUACUCACAGAAGAAGUCCUGGCUAACUCCGUGCCAGCAGCCGCGGUAAUACGGAGAGGGCUAGCGUUAUUCGGAAUUAUUGGGCGUAAAGAGCGCGUAGGCUGAUUAGUAAGUUAAAAGUGAAAUCCCAAAGCUUAACUUUGGAAUUGCUUUUUAAAACUGCUAGUCUAGAGAUUGAAAGAGGAUAGAGAAAUUCCUAAUGUAGAGGUGAAAUUCGUAAAUAUUAGGAGGAACACCAGUGGCGAAGGCGUCUAUCUGGUUCAAAUCUGACGCUGAGGCGCGAAGGGCGUGGGGAGCAAACAGGGAUUAGAUACC